rnacentral:rRNA from 1 species
UGUGCAGAGGGAAAUAGCAGGUUGUGCGUCUCUGUCAGAGACUACUACUGUUAUAUGCUGCAGACACGGCCUGCAAUCUUCAAUCCCAUACACUGUGGAGCAUGACUGCUGCAGCAAUGGGCUGUCGACAUGUACGUUAAGAUUGAGAGCUGUCGGUUGAGGUAGUACAGGAAGAACCAGACGCAGAUUCAUGCCGACUUGUAUAAAGGAGUGGUUGAUGCCAUCACUUCGGGGGAGACGCGAGCAAGCGUUGUUGGGGUUAGAAUAGUGCUCCCUGGAACAUACCCUGGGGGCGACCACGACAUGAAGAAGAGACAUAUGGAUGCCAUGGCAAUUGUCCAUACAUACGGGAAGCCAGACAUCUUCCUCACCAUGACUUGCAAUCCUAAAUGGGAAGAGAUAACAAAUGAGUUGUUGCCUGGUCAGACGGCACAAGACCGACCUGAUAUUGUGGCUCGUGUGUUCUAUGGCAAACUAGAGCACAUGAAAUACAUGUUGUUCAGGAAGCAGAUCCUGGGUGUUGUAGUUGCUUACGUAUAUGUAGUCGAGUUCCAAAAAGGGGCCUCCCCCACGCGCAUUUUUUGUUGA